rnacentral:lncRNA from 1 species
GACUUCAGCAGUGUGAGGUGAGUUACCUUCCAGUAGCGGUGGGUCUACGGCCACAAUGCCGGCCCACCAGUAGGAGUUGUUGUUAGAUGAUUGUCUUUGUGANGCAAGUGUGGGAUUGUGUCUUCGGGACUUCAGCAGUGUGAGGUGAGUUACCUUCCAGUAGCGGUGGGUCUACGGCCACAAUGCCGGCCCACCAGUAGGAGUUGUUGUUAGAUGAUUGUCUUUGUGAUAAUUGUCUAUGUUUGCUACUACCUGUUAUGUUUAUGUGCUAGCAUGAUAUGAUGUUAUGUGAUAGUGGUAGUAGGGGGUGAAAUAGUCCCCGGUUACCGGUCGAUAGGGCCGAAGGGGU